rnacentral:piRNA from 1 species
UGAAAAGUUGGUAGGCUGGAAGUAACCUU